rnacentral:rRNA from 1 species
AGGACGAACGCUGGCGGCGUGCUUAACACAUGCAAGUCGAGCGGUAAGGCCUUUCGGGGUACACGAGCGGCGAACGGGUGAGUAACACGUGGGUGAUCUGCCCUGCACUCUGGGAUAAGCCUGGGAAACUGGGUCUAAUACCGGAUAUGACCUGCUCUCGCAGUGGGGGUGGGUGGAAAGAUUUAUCGGGUGCAGGAUGGGGCCCGCGGACCUAUCA